UGCCACUGAGCCCUCUCUAUCCCCAACAUCGUUAGCAAAAGGAGUGAGACUGAUAUCCAUUCACCCCAUGUCCGCAGUAGAUAUAGCGGCUAGAUUAUCUAGCAUUAUGCCACAACAAUGGCAACAUAAGAAAAGGUUUCUAGCCUGGCAGGGAGCAGGCGAUCUGACAUACAUUGACGCCAUCGGGAUUCCACGUGUUGUUCCAGAUGAAUACAAAUUGGCUGAUCAGAUAGCAGCAGGAUUUGAGUCCUCCAUUUGUUGGUGGUGUACAACAAACAAGAACGUAGACAGGAUCUAUUACGUCCACUACAACAUACAAAAACUGGGAAAUUGGACACAGAGUGGUUUCGAGGCAGUCCACGAUCAGCUGGCUGCAACUUCCCUCAUGGCUUUCCAGAAUCGAAUAGCCCUGGACAUGCUAUUGGCCGAAUAGGGAGGUGUUUGUGCUGUGUUUGGUAAACAGUGUUGCACAUUUAUCCCUAAUAACACUGCCGCUGACGGCAGUCUCACAAAGGCCAUAGAGGGGCUCCGAACACUCAACGGAAAGAUGAAAGAACACGCCGGAAUUGAUACCACAAUGUGGGACUCCUGGAUGGAUGCCUUGGGGAAGUAUAGAGCCCUUGUGUCCUCUGUUCUGGUUUCCAUAGCAGUAUUUGCUGCAUUUCUAACCUUGUGUGGAUGUUGUUGUGUGCCCUGUCUGCGUGCCUUGCUUGACCGUCUCAUCACCACAGCUAUCUCACCUAUGGAAAACAAGAUGGCGCAAAUGUAUCCCCUGCACGGCACAUUCCUCAGAGCGAUGAGGGGGACAGUGAUGACGAAGAGGAGUCAAGCUUUUCCCUGCCUGACCUGUACCCCGACUCUGCUGAAUAUGACUCCAACUGAAGAAGUGGAGAGACGUGGUUUCAUCCCGGACCCAGCGGUGACAUGCGGAAGUGCGUCUCCCCACAGAAAUAAGGUCGUUACACCCGAAGUAUUGGGGUCAAUAACUGUAUAGAAAUGAAAAGAAUAUUUAAAAAAUUAUACCAGAACAUUAUAGGAUCAAACCUCAGCUCUAAUUAAUUAUUCGUUACAGAUCUAGUUAGAUAUAGUCCACGAAAAACAAAUCUAUAACCAGUUAAUGCCCAAACACAGAGCCGUAUGUUAAAGCUAGGCCCUCUUGUGGCCGUAAAGUGUAACUACAGCCAAGCUAGUAGUAGAGCUAACCAUCGUCCCCAUUGAUACUGGUGGUAUUUUCUUUAAAAUAAGGGGCCAGUUUUCAAUACACAGUUCAAAAUAAUUCACGCACAUCAUCAAAUAUCUGUUUUAUUUCACUGAUUAUUUUUUGCGUUACUGUCGAUAUUGUUUAGCUUGAUGGUAGCGGAUUAAAUUUGCCAAUCGGGAACAUGUAACUAGCAAAAGUGCUACAGCUUCAGUCUACUGUAAGACUUUUCAUAUAUUAUCCUACUAACUAUUAGAGGAAUGCGAUUCGUACUGAAAAGUUGUGGAACAGCGUUGGUCCGAGGUGUCACUUUUGUGAAAUAAAGUAGUUAAAUAGAACAGACCCAGAAAGUCCGCUGUAAUUAGCACCAGCUAACCUAGCCUAGCCUGUGGCUCUCACUCUAUUAUGUCUAUGUACUCACAUACAGACAACGAGUGUUGCUGCCCUCUAGUGGACAGAAACUGUCAUUACAUGUAUUAAGUUAAAAAUUACAUAUGGAUAGUACUUCCGGUCAAAAUUCAAAAGUAAAAGUCGAAACACCUGUGUGCUGUAGUGAAAAUAAAGUACCACUUAUAGAUGAAAUUCUUGCAAGAAUUACUGUUAUUAUUUUUAGUCUUAUUUUAUCAUGCCAUGAAAUUGAUGUUUUUUUUGUGUUUUUUUUUGUGUUUUUUUUGUUUUAGAAAAACAAAUAUGAUGCAUUUAUAUCUGUCAUGCUCUGUAUAUUGUAAAAGAAACCAUGUUUAUAAUUCUGAAUUGAAUGUUUAGUCAGAGAUCAGCUGUUAUUAUCUGGUCUCAGCUCUGAAGUCCAACCCCUCCUAUCUGAAACAUCUGGACCUGAGUAAAAUCUACAAACUGAAAGAUUCAGGAGUUAAGCAGCUUCUUGAUCUUGUGAAGAGUCCAGACUGUAGACUGUGGAGGGUUGGAGUCAGUUCAUACUUCUUUUAGUUAUAGCGUAGAAAACACAGUUUGUAUCAACACAAAGAUCCAGUGUUUGUUGUAAACCUGCAGCUGUUUUCCUCAGUGAAGCUGUGAGAGGAGACAACAAUCAGCCAAUCAGAUCAUCAGGAAGCUUGUUGUGUUCAUGUUUUCAGGAAAUAAAUCUGAAUCACUUCAUGGUCAUUGUAACAAUUCUUCAUAUUCAGUGCAAUUUAAAAGUGCUGUAUCUAUAGAAAAAAGAGGUAAGAUGAGAAAACAACAUGUAACAGAGUAGAAAAAUAACACACAUAAUACUACUAUUAACAAAAGAAAGACACAAAGGAAUAUCAUAAACCUGCCAGCAUCAACAGUCCUUUCUGAUGUUUCUCAUCAUUGAUAUUCUCACGUCUGUCUUCAUUUGUUUGUCUCCGUUCAGUAGAUUCCAGCGUCUUAGAACAGUUAUUUUCAUCAAAUCAUCAUUUCAGAAGCUUUAACCUGCAGAUGAUUAAAGAUGAUUCAUUAAUGUUCAGCAGGUCAGAGUCACCAAGAAACCAGGAGUCAUUAUUUACAGCUGGUUUAUGGUUCUUUGUGUUUUUCUAGGAAAUUCUGGUAAAUAACAGAUCAUGUUUUAGGAAAUUAUGAGUCAGCUUGUUUUCUUGUAAAAGUCAAAGUUUCUCAGGGAAACGGUCAGAUAAUUUAUUGGCUUAUGAGUCAGUGAACUUUAAAAGUCAUCAGGAAAAUGUUCUCAACAUAUUAAAGGUAAAAAUAUGGUAAUAGUUUAUUUUAUUUUUACUAAUUAAACAUGUUUCUUCUGUU